rnacentral:rRNA from 1 species
UACGUAGUGGGCAAGCGUUGUCCGGAUUUAUUGGGCGUAAAGAGCGUGUAGGCGGCCAGGUAGGUCAGCUGUGAAAACUCGAGGCUCAACCUCGAGACGUCGGUUGAAACCACCUGGCUAGAGUCCGGAAGAGGAGAGUGGAAUUCCUGGUGUAGCGGUGAAAUGCGCAGAUAUCAGGAGGAACACCAAUGGCGAAGGCAGCUCGCUGGGACGGUACUGACGCUGAGGCGCGAAAGCGUGGGGAGCAAACAGG